rnacentral:lncRNA from 7 species
CGUGUUUAUCACCAGAGUGACACAGCUCUUGAGUUCAAGUCGAUAUACAUCCUCUCCCCAGCCAAUAGCUCGGUCUGCCCUUGUGCUUAGCGCUCCAACACUCAGUCUGGUGACCACGCUCACCCAACUGCUCACCUCACCGUGGCCGAGACGCUUGGAGCAAUUGCAUCCCCGGGUGGUCAGAACAGUGCCACGCUGCCGCAGAACAGAGUCGUGGACAGCUCCACCGCUGGCUUUCCAAUCCAUGUUGAUCUCGAAUGAUCUUGUGCGAGCACUGAAGGUGUGGUAGGUCGUCGACGUCGUGGCCAGCGAGGGCGGGUGCUUGGCUCGAGCAUGAAAACAUUGGAGCUUGUUAACAUGGACGUGUUUUGACGGUGAUUAUGAUGCGCCUGAGAACACCUAGAAGAAGUGGUGU